rnacentral:rRNA from 1 species
UACGAAGGGUGCAAACGUUGCUCGGAAUUAUUGGGCGUAAAGCGCACGUAGGCGGUCCGUUAAGUCUCAUAGGUGAAAGGCUGGGGCUCAACCCCAUGCAUGCCGGGGAUACUGGCGGACUGGAGACAGGUAGAGGCGAGCGGAAUUCCGGGUGUAGCGGUGGAAUGCGUAGAGAUCCGGAAGAACACCGGAGGCGAAGGCGGCUCGCUGGACCUGAUCUGACGCUGAGGUGCGAAAGCGUGGGGAGCGAACAGG